ACGCGCUUCUCCGCGCUCACGCGGCGCCACCACUGCCGCAAGUGCGGUUUCGUGGUCUGUGCCGAGUGCUCCCGCCAGCGCUU
rnacentral:miRNA from 14 species